CCAAUAAAGUCUUCUGCUUUGUCAGCACGUGUGUCUCCUUGGACAAUUCAUUUCUGAGUGUUAGACAAGAGCCUACUCUCAGGUCCUGGAAGGAGUCCCCCGCUUCCUGCAACAAUAGAAAAUAAUUUAAA